rnacentral:rRNA from 1 species
AAUAGAUACCCAGGUAGUCCAUGCCGUAAACGUUGGCACUAGGUGUGGGACUCACUCAACGGGUUCCGUGCCGUAGCUAACGCAUUAAGUGCCCCCGCCUGGGGAGUACGGCCGCAAGGCUAAAACUCAAAGGAAUUGACGGGGCCCGCACAAGCAGCGGAGCAUGUUGCUUAAUUCGAGGCAACGCGAAGAACCCUUACCUGGGUUUGACAUGUACGGAAAAGCCGCAGAGAUGCGGUGUCCUUUUGGGCCGUUACACAGGUGGUGCAUGGUUGUCGUCAGCUCGUGUCGUGAGAUGUUGGGUUAAGUCCCGCAACGAGCGCAACCCUUGUCCUAUGUUGCCAGCGGGUAAUGCCGGGGACUCGUAGGAGACUGCCGGGGACAACUCGGAGGAAGGUGGGGAUGACGUCAAAGUCAUCAUGCCCCUUAUGUCCAGGGCUGCAAACAUGCUACAAUGGCCAGUACAAAGGGCUGCUAUACCGCGAGGUUGAGCGAAUCCCAUAAAGCUGGUCUCAGUUCGGAUUGGAGUCUGC